UAGUUUGCUUUAUACUACACGCUGGCGGUGCUGUUGACCAAUCAUAUCUUAACAGUCUGUGGUUUUGUAUGUCAGUCGAGCAUCCGUAAAGGGCCGCUCAAUGCAUAUGACCGCAUUUGAAAGAUUGCUCCGAACACUCACAAACAUCCCCGGAGGUGAUAGAGCCGAUCUUUUCGCAUCGGGUGCAGUAUCAAUCUACACCGGUUAAAAUGGCGGCGAUGCUGAGAGCGGCUGAAAAUGUGCUUUGGAGUGAUACAUUUUGGUUCGCUAACGGGACAUCAUGGAAAGAUUUGGAAAGCACAGACCCAGAUAUAUAUUACCCAAAGUUCUCCGAUAUGAACAAAUCGUUUUUCGUUGGGUUUCUGCUGCUGGGACUCAGAUAUAUUUACGAGAGAUUUAUUGUUGUUCCAAUUGCUAAAAGCCUCGGCCUUAAAGAGAGAAAUGUCCACCUUGUGCCAAACCAGAAUUUGGAGGCCAUGUAUAGAAGUAUCAAAGGGAAGCAGCUGUCGAAGACAGACAUUGAGAAAGCACAAAAACAAACUGAUAUGACAGAAAAACAAGUACAAAGAUGGUUUUUCAAGCGUAGACUGAAAGAUGUGCCAAGUAACCUCUUCCGAUUCCGGGAUCAGAGCUGGCAGAUGCUCUUCUACUUGAUGUCCUUCCUAUAUGGAAUGUUCGUUUUGUGGGAUAAGCCGUGGCUGUGGGACACAACACAUUGCUGGAAAGGCUGGCCUAAACAGCAUGUCACCAAUGAUCUGUACUACUUUUAUCUGGUGGAGCUGGGCUUCUACUGGUGCCUGCUCUUCACACUUUUCUAUGAUGUCAAGCGCAAGGACUUUUGGGAAAUGGCUACACAUCACUUGAUCACGAUGCUACUGUUGUACUUCUCCUGGAUCACUAACUAUGUCCGUGUGGGGACACUGGUCCUAGUUGUGCAUGAUGCUUCUGACCACUGGAUGGCCGCAGCUAAGAUGGCCAAAUACCUCAAGAAGCAGAUGCUCUGUGAAGUGUUGUUCUUCAUCUUCAUCCUGAUCUGGGUGUUCUGUCGUCUGUACCUCUACCCCUACAGGUGAGCCACUAUAACUUACUUCAUCCUGAUCUUGGUGUUCUGUCGUCUGUACCUCUACCCCUUCAGGUGAGCCACUAUUACUAACUUCAUCCUGAUCUGGGUGUUCUGUCGUCUGUACCUCUACCCCUUCAGGUGAGCCACUAUAACUUACUUCAUCCUGAUCUGGGUGUUCUGUCGUCUGUACCUCUACCCCUUCAGGUGAGCCACUAUUACUAACUUCAUCCUGAUCUGGGUGUUCUGUCGUUUGUACCUCUACCCCUUCAGGUGAGCCACUAUAACUUACUUCAUCCUGAUCUGGGUGUUCUGUCGUCUGUACCUCUACCCCUUCAGGUGAGCCACUAUAACUUACUUCAUCCUGAUCUGGGUGUUGUGUCGUCUGUACCUCUACCCCUUCAGGUGAGCCACUAUUACUUACUUCAUCCUGAUCUGGGUGUUCUGUCGUCUGUACCUCUACCCCUUCAGGUGAGCCACUAUAACUAACUUCAUCCUGAUCUGGGUGUUCUGUCGUCUGUACCUCUACCCCUUCAGGAUAUUAAAGACGACCUACUUUGAAGUACAUGACUAUGUUUCGGUGGGGACAUGCUUUUGGCUGUUCAACUUUCUGCUGGCUGUCCUGCAAGUUCUACACAUUCUGUGGACAUACUUCAUACUGCGAGUGAUA
rnacentral:misc_RNA from 1 species